rnacentral:rRNA from 1 species
UACAGAGGUCCCGAGCGUUGUUCGGAUUCACCGGGCGUAAAGGGUGCGUAGGUGGCGAGGUAAGUCGGAUGUGAAAGCUCGGAGCUCAACUCCGAAAUGGCAUUGGAAACUACCUUGCUCGAGGGUUGGAGGGGGGACUGGAAUACUUGGUGUAGCAGUGAAAUGCGUAGAUAUCAAGUGGAACACCAGUGGCGAAGGCGAGUCCCUGGACAACUCCUGACACUGAGGCACGAAAGCUAGGGGAGCAAACAGG